GACGAACGCUGGCGGCGUGCCUAAUACAUGCAUGUAGAACGCAGUUGCGAACGGGUGAGUAACGCGUAGGUUACUGCAUCAUAGCUGGGGAUAACUAUUGGUACCGAUAGCUAAUACCGCAUUCUGUGAGCUGGACUUGCGUUGUAUUAGCUAGUUGGUGCGGUAAAGGCUCACCAAGGCGACGAUACAUAACCAACCGGAGAGGGAGAACGGCCACACUGGGAAUGAGAAACGGCCCAGAGUGCUACGGGUAGCAGCAGUUGGAAAUCUUUGGCAAGGGGCGGAAGUCUGACCGAGAAAAGGCGAGUGAGAGAAAGAGGUUUUCGGAUAGGAAAGGUCUGUUGUUAGAGAAGCGGUAGCUAACCAGAAAGGGACGGCUAACUACGUGCCAGCAGCCGCGGUAAUUG
rnacentral:rRNA from 1 species